UACGGAGGGGGCGAGCGUUGUUCGGAGUUACUGGGCGUAAAGCGAGCGCAGGUGGUUUAAUAAGUCUGAUGUAAAAGGCAGUGGCUCAACCAUUGUGUGCAUUGGAAACUGUUAGACUUGAGUGCAGUAGAGGAGAGUGGAAUUCCAUGUGUAGCGGUGAAAUGCGUAGAUAUAUGGAGGAACACCGGUGGCGAAAGCGGCUCUCUGGACUGUAACUGACACUGAGGCUCGAAAGCGUGGGUAGCAAACAGG
rnacentral:rRNA from 1 species